rnacentral:rRNA from 1 species
UACAGAGACUGCAAGCGUUAUUCGGAUUCACUGGGCGUAAAGCGUGCGCAGGCGGCUUCUCAAGUCAGGGGUGAAAGCCCAGAGCUCAACUCUGGAAUUGCCUUUGAGACUGAGUGGCUUGAGUACGAGAGAGGUGAGUGGAAUUCCCAGUGUAGAGGUGAAAUUCGUAGAUAUUGGGAAGAACACCGGUGGCGAAGGCGGCUCACUGGCUCGUAACUGACGCUCAUGCACGACAGCGUGGGGAUCAAACAGG